UAGCUUAGUUGGUUAAAGCGCCGGUCUAGCGUACACGGAGUCGUGAGUUCGAGUCUCAC
rnacentral:tRNA from 1 species